rnacentral:lncRNA from 11 species
GCUGGGUUGUUACGAGUUUUCCAGGCUGUAUGACCAUUACUGUAUGCUAUUACUGAACUGAUAAGCUUCCAAGGAGGUAGGACUGCCAAGGGUCAAAUCUGAGAGCUUCAAGGUUGUCCGGUAAUUGCUCAGCUACACAACAGUUA